UUCGGGAGCUUGUACAGGUGCUGCAUGGCUGUCGUCAGCUCGUGUCGUGAGAUGUUCGGUUAAGUCCGCUAACGAGCGCAACCCUCGCUGUGUGUUACAAGUGUCACACGGAACUGCCGGUCAUAAACCGGAGGAAGGUGGGGAUGACGUCAAGUCAGCAUGGCCUUUAUAUCCUGGGCUACACACACGCUACAAUGGGAAGGGACAAUAGGUUGCGAAGCCGCGAGGCGGAGCCAAUCCAGCAAAACUUCCCUCAGUUCAGAUUGCAGGCUGCAACCCGCCUGCAUGAAGUUGGAGUUGCUAGUAAACGCAGGUCAGCCAUACUGCGUUGAAUACGUUCCCGGGGCUU
rnacentral:rRNA from 1 species